rnacentral:rRNA from 1 species
UCGCCCUUCAGCAGCCGCGGUAAUAGGAAGGGUGCAAGCGUUACNUCGGAAUUACUGGGCGUAAAGCGUGCGUAGGUGGUUGUUUAAGUCUGUUGUGAAAGCCCUGGGCUCAACCUGGGAAUUGCAGUGGAUACUGGGCGANUAGAGUGUGGUAGAGGGUCGUGGAAUUCCCGGUGUUGCAGUGAAAUGCGUAGAGAUCGGGAGGNACAUCCAUGGCGAAGGCAGCUACNUGGACCAACACUGACAUUGAGGCACGAAAGNGUGGGGNGCAAACAGGAUUAGAUACCCUGGUAGUCCACGCCNUAAANGAUGCGAANUGGAUGUUGGGUGCAAUUUGGCACGCAGUAUCGAAGNUAACGCGUUAAGUUCNCCGCNUGGGGNGUACGGUCGCANGACUGAAACUCAAAGGAAUUGACGGAAGGGC